UACGGGGGGGGGGCAAGCGUUUGUUCGGAAUUACUGGGCGUAAAGGGCUCGUAGGCGGCCAACUAAGUCAGACGUGAAAUCCCUCGGCUUAACCGGGGGAACUGCAUCUGAUACUGGAUGGCUUGAGUUCGGGAGAGGGAUGCGGAAUUCCAGGUGUAGCGGUGAAAUGCGUAGAUAUCUGGAGGAACACCGGUGGCGAAGGCGGCAUCCUGGACCGACACUGACGCUGAGGAGCGAAAGCCAGGGGAGCAAAAGCGGG
rnacentral:rRNA from 1 species